CGGAUUGUAGUCUGCAACCCGACUACAUGAAGCUGGAAUCGCUAGUAAUCGCGAAUCAGAAUGUCGCGGUGAAUACGUUCCCGGGUCUUGUACACACCGCCCGUCACACCAUGGGAGUCGGAAAUGCCCGAAGUCAGUGACCCAACCGUAAGGAGGGAGCUGCCGAAGGUGGAGCCGGUAACUGGGGUGAAAGUCGUAACAAGGUAGC
rnacentral:rRNA from 1 species